GUACGCAAGAAUCCAUUUGCCGUUAAGCAGAGACAGGGCCUCAGUAGGAGCAGGUGUUGGAUUCUUCGCUUCGAGUUGCGUAAUCAGCUCGACAAUCUCCGCCCUAGUUUCGCUAGAAGCUUGUAAUCCACGAUCGGUUCCGUCAAACGAGUCCACCAACGCCUUCUUCAGUUUAUAAAUCUCCGAUGGCUCAAGAGGCUUUUCCUCUUCCUCUUCAGCUACUGCCACAGCCGGACCAUCUCCAUACGGCUCGUCCUUCUCCGCGCCCCACUCGUCAUCGUUUACCACCGCACGGACCUUGAACGCAGGUCUGGCUGAGAUCGGUGACUUCCCCGUCGCGGCUCUGACGCCGGCCCCAAUCGAACCGAUGGGGAAAAUCGAGGGCUUAGAAAUCAAUUGAGGCUGCGGUGGAUUCAGUGAGAGAGUCUUGCACGGAAGUUGAUUGAAUUGAGAAACAAACGCCAUCGAUUUCUCCCCAAUUCCCUAAAUCAGACAAACAAACACAAAGCACAAAGUGAAAGAUGGAGACUCA
rnacentral:misc_RNA from 1 species